CCUACGGGUGGCUGCAGUGGGGAAUAUUGGACAAUGGGCGAAAGCCUGAUCCAGCCAUGCCGCGUGUGUGAAGAAGGCCUUCGGGUUGUAAAGCACUUUCAGUGGGGAAGAAAGCCUUGGGGCUAAUACCCUCGAGGAAGGACAUCACCCACAGAAGAAGCACCGGCUAACUCCGUGCCAGCAGCCGCGGUAAUACGGAGGGUGCGAGCGUUAAUCGGAAUUACUGGGCGUAAAGCGCGCGUAGGCGGUCUGAUAAGCCGGUUGUGAAAGCCCCGGGCUCAACCUGGGAACGGCAUCCGGAACUGUCAGGCUAGAGUGCAGGAGAGGAAGGUAGAAUUCCCGGUGUAGCGGUGAAAUGCGUAGAGAUCGGGAGGAAUACCAGUGGCGAAGGCGGCCUUCUGGACUGACACUGACGCUGAGGUGCGAAAGCGUGGGUAGCAAGCAGGAUUAGAUACCCCUGUAGUC
rnacentral:rRNA from 1 species